AUUGUAUAGGUAAUUUUGAAAUAAAUCAACUUCCAGAAGCUUAUGGAUGUUCUAGGUUUCAUUAUUGAAAAAAAAAAGAAGCAAGAUUGAAAACCCAGAAGUUUCUCAAAACAAACAAUCUUGAAAAAAAAAAAAAAAGAGAAAGGGCAAGACGACAGAGUCGAUCUUAGAUGGUAGAGUUGAGCCCCCUAUUAGUUAAUCGGCGGAACGAGAGGCUUUAGAGAUUCUAUUUGAAGUUGCACCUCCCAAGAUUCCCCCAACAUACAAUGCAGUUAGAGAAAGAGGUGCUUUGAUGGUAGGGAAGGGGAGGCGAGCUGGGCUGUAGAGGUCGAGUAUCCCAUCGUCAAUUGAUGUUCAAAGGGAAUUGAAAGAAAAGAACAUAGAAAUGAAGAAAGUAUUGUCGAAUCAAUUAGCUUCCUAUAUCUUAUAAUACAGAUAUGCUUCUGCAUGUCCUAUGCGGGACUAUGCUUUCAAGUGAGAUUUAGCCUUCAAAAAAUGCAGCUGAUUAUCAGCAAAUUGCAUUUACGGCUACCUUUUUUGCUAGGAUCACUCAAGCAAUCCUUGGUAUUCUCAGGUUGGGCUUCUUGAUUGACUUCCUGUCUCUUGUUGCUAUCGUCGGUUUUAUGGGUGGAGCUGCUAUUAUGAUUGCCUUCCAACAACUUAAGGGUCUUCCCGUUAUAAAAAAAUUUACAAAGAAACCUAUAUUGUUUCUGUAAUGCACUCUAUAUGGGGCAACGUUCAUCGUAGAGUAAGCAGUCCUUUAUCUUUCUCCUUUUCAAAAAAAAAUUACAUUUCGAUUCUCUUCUUUAUGAGUCAUAACCUACAAUCUGAAGAAUUCCCAACCUAUAUCAAUGUUAUCACUCACAACAUUGCAGUUACUAAAUUUAUAUAAUACUACUUUGCAAUGGAACUAGCAGACUAUACUCAUUAGAGUUAUCUUUUUGUCCUUCCUUCUGUUUGCGAAGUACAUUGCAACAACCUCUAUUGUCUUAUUUUUGUUUACAAACUAUAACAUUUGCAUGCUUUGAGAAAUAGGGAAAAACGAACAGAAAAAUUUUCUGGGUGCCUGCAAUAGCUCCAUUAAUAUCAGUUGUUCUCUCCACUUUUUUUUUUAUAUAACACAUGCAGAAAAAAAGGAGUUUAGAUUUUAAGCAUCUUUUCUUUAACCUCUAAUAAUUUUUUAGUGUAAUAUUGCAAUUUAAUAGUUCAGAAAUUGUAGUAGUUUUGGUAAUGAGUAAUGAAAGCAGCACCACUUUUCUUUCA